rnacentral:rRNA from 1 species
AGCGAACGCUGGCGGCAGGCUUAACACAUGCAAGUCGAGCGGGCGUAGCAAUACGUCAGCGGCAGACGGGUGAGUAACGCGUGGGAACGUACCUUUUGGUUCGGAACAACACAGGGAAACUUGUGCUAAUACCGGAUAAGCCCUUACGGGGAAAGAUUUAUCGCCGAAAGAUCGGCCCGCGUCUGAUUAGCUAGUUGGUGAGGUAACGGCACACCAAGGCGACGAUCAGUAGCUGGUCUGAGAGGAUGAUCAGCCAGAUUGGGACUGAGACACGGACCACACUCCUACGGGAGGGAGCAGUAGAGAAUAUUGGACAAGGGAGGCAACUCUGAUCCAGCCAUGCCGCGGGAGUGAUGAAGGCCGUAGGGUUGUAAAGCUCUUUUGUGCGGGAAGAUAAUGACGGUACCGCAAGAAUAAGCCCCGGCUAACUUCGUG